AUUCUUAUCACAUUCAUUGACAUCUGCAACAGCAAAGAACCGAAUUAUUUGGGGUCAAGUGAUUGAAUGAAUAGUAAAGCGUGAAAAAAAAUCUGCAUAUGAGUACCAAUAAAUACUAAUUGUCAAAUGGCAUAAUGACUGACACGUUUGCCAUUCUUCCACCAAAGUAAAGAUGAAUUACAUCAAGGAGAGAAAAAUGAGGAAAAGAUGAUCUGCACGAUUGUGCAUGAUCUAAAGAUGCACAUGGAGCAAAGAUAUGAACUGAACUUGCCUCUGCAUCCGUCAAAGAGAUAAUUCUUUGCCAGAAGAUUUUGCUGCUGUCCAUGCCAUCUUGGAGAUGUUUGGUAAUGCAUCCGGGCUGAGAACUAACAUUGCGAAGAGUGUGGUCUAUCCUAUUUCCUGUGAUGGUAUCAAUUUAUCUCCUAUGCCGAGUGAUUUUGGUGCAGUGCACGCUUCUUUGCCUCGCCGGAAUCUGGGUUUUCUUCUAGGGUUCAGAAAGCUGAGGAGGGCUGAGCUGCAGCCGUUGCUUGACAAGAUGUAGCUGCGAAGGUUGCAGCAGAUCAGUAGUACCAAGAUGUAGCUGGAACCAAUUCAUGCUUCUUUGCAAGAAAUUACAGCCGGAGACUUGAGGUCUUUGCAAGAAAUUACAGCCAGAGACUUGAGGUCUCUGAAUGCGGUUCAGUUCUUCCCGAGACUUGAGCGGACUGAUCUUGCAAGAGUUUGGCUGAUUCAGGCUGAAUGGUAGGUGAGGUUUGUUUUUCCUCUGGCCGCCAUUUCAAAAUAGGAACUGGACGGCUGACGGGCCACAUGCGAGUGGCUGUCCGCACGAGAGACUUUUGCCGCCUGUGCGAUCAGGAGCAAAAGAAUGCUGGCCAUCUGACCCUGCAUUGCUGUUACGCGGAGGAAGGAGGUGUGGCAUUGAUUUCAGAAUUCCAGCGGUAGAGUGUGUUCAACUGUUUCUUUGGCAUUGAUGACAAUCCGGUUAUGGUGGAGGAGGAUUUGCUGGGGCGGCGGCUCGCGAGGCAAGAAGAAGAAAAUCUGUAAUCAAAUAAUUUCAAACAAAAAUCAGUACCUGCGUAUGUUGCCGGGAUAUGGAGGAAGUUGCGACAAUGAUCCAGUUCGUGCCCAGAAGCGCUUCCAACUGAAGCAAAGCGCGGUAUGCAGCAACUGUGCUCAUGAACUCAUCUUCAACAAAAUGGGCCGAGUUCUGCACCUGUCAACUAUUUUUUUUCCCUGAAAAA